GAUGAACGCUGGCGGCGUGCCUAAUACAUGCAAGUCGAGCGAACAGACGAGGAGCUUGCUCCUCUGACGUUAGCGGCGGACGGGUGAGUAACACGUGGAUAACCUACCUAUAAGACUGGGAUAACUUCGGGAAACCGGAGCUAAUACCGGAUAAUAUAUUGAACCGCAUGGUUCAAUAGUGAAAGACGGUUUUGCUGUCACUUAUAGAUGGAUCCGCGCCGCAUUAGCUAGUUGGUAAGGUAACGGCUUACCAAGGCGACGAUGCGUAGCCGACCUGAGAGGGUGAUCGGCCACACUGGAACUGAGACACGGUCCAGACUCCUACGGGAGGCAGCAGUAGGGUAUCUUCCGCAAUGGGCGAAAGCCUGACGGAGCAACGCCGCGUGAGUGAUGAAGGUCUUCGGAUCGUAAAACUCUGUUAUUAGGGAAGAACAAAUGUGUAAGUAACUAUGCACGUCUUGACGGUACCUAAUCAGAAAGCCACGGCUAACUACGUG
rnacentral:rRNA from 1 species